UCUACUGCGAGAAUAGCAGAGGGAUAUCGUGGCUGUAUAUAUGUUACAAAGUCUCACAAAUAAUUGGAAGAAGGCUCGAAGUUUUCUCAUAGCAUUCUGUUUGUGGAUACCAGAUUUCAACGUGAAAAGUCAACGCUUGUCCAUAUAUCUUAGGAGAAUCUUAGACCCACUGAAGGAUUCGCUAGCUUCAAUUGGCAGGUCAUGUAGAGCAUGCCGACGACAGAAGCAUUCCCAAACGCCUAGUUAAAGUUAAGGUGGAAGGUGAACAACUACCUGGAAAACCUCGAAGCAGAUAAGAGGUUUCAGUGGACAACGCCACAGGUUCCUCGAUUGAUUGCAGAUUGCUGGAGCGAGAAGAGUGAAAACAAAAACUUCGAGAGGCCAAUAACGGACAUAGGACAGCAGCGCCAUAGAAGAAGAGUUCUCCUGGAUCGGUCAUUUCCCCAAUGGAAUGGAAUGGAAUCGCUAUUGAAAACCAAGGUAAUGAGACUGUACAGUCAGGGUUUUGGAAUGAUGGUCGAUGUAUACUUUGCUUUCAAAUUUGCAGCCAAACCCGUCGAGAGACGGGGAAAGGGGGCGAUUCCUUCGAGUACGUAGGGAAAGCCCAGGGUGCGAGUGUAGUCAAGAGAGAAGAAUAUUCUUAUUGAUUUUUUGAAAGUUUGUCGUUUAUGAGAUCUUAGGUUUCCAAGCACUGUCAACCUGUUUCAAAGAAAGCUUGAAUAAGCAGGACACCGGUUAUAAAUCAUUAAUGUCCCACAUAACUAUACCUUCUAUCAAUUUACUUCCUCCCACUUACGCAUGUAAGGGGUG